AUUUCUUAUUCGGAGACCGAACCGAGGAGAGCUGCUGAAGAAGUAGCAGCCCUGCUCCUUUUCCCUUGUCUUGUUGGGUCAGAUCCUUCCCGGGGAUGAUGCAGAUUGGCUGACAGACUCCGCUGGAGACUUCGCAGUGACAAAGCAGCCGAGGAUUAACCCUGCUCCUGGGUCCUACGUCUGUCCAGGGAGCUGAGCGGGGCGCUCCUCAGGAAGUGUUUGGAUUGUGAGCUAUUUCAGAACUGUUCUCAGGACUCAUUAUUUUAACAUUUGGGAGAAACACAGCCAGAAGAUGCACACUUGACUGAAGGAGGACAGGGAAUCUGAAGACUCCGGAUGACAUCAGAGCUACUUUUCAACAGCCUUCUCAAUUUUCUUUCUCAGAAAGCAGAGGCUCAGAGCUUGGAGACAGACGCCCCAGAGUUCCAAAAGUUGGUUUGCAUGGACAGAUUCAGAGUAGUCCCACAGAGCCCAGGUCCUGUUAAUAAGAAGAGGCAUGUUACAUGAUACGCACAAAGAAACUGAAAAAACUGAGCCUCGGAACAGUUAAGUAAAUCGACCAAAGUGACCCAC
rnacentral:sRNA from 1 species